ensembl:lncRNA
UUUUUUUUUUAAUUUUUAUUUUUUAGGUAUUUGCUUGCCACUUAUUUUAAUUUUCCCACUCUGGCAGAGUGAUGCCAUCUGCCAGCCAUUUUUUAUCUGCACAUAAUUUAUUGCUUUAGGCGCUCCGAGUUUUGUGCAUUUCAGGGAAAGUGCUCAGCUUUUUCUGCUCACAACCUGUCUCAGUUUGGGUUGUUCCAAAAGCAACCUGAGGCAAGGAUGUUUAACAAGCAGUUUAUUUGGGAGAUGCCCCCUCCCCCAGGAAGUGCUGCAAGGGAGAGGGGCUGAGGGAAGGAAGGGCAGGCAGUAAGGAUAGGUCUCACUGAGUGAUGGGGAAGCUGGGGUGUCUAUGCACCCCUCCACUUCCUCACUGGGUGAAGAUUGCUACUGGAAGCCUUACUCCUUGGUGCUUCCAUGCAGGCAGAGCAAGCUCCCCUAGUGUCAAGAAAGCCCCCAGGCAGAGAAGCCAGCAGAGACAUGUGGCUGGUUGAGGUGGGGAGAGGGGUUACUACUGCUGCAGUGAAUCCAGGAGCUGGCUGAGAGGACACGGAUUGGGGCAUCAGUAGCUUUUACUAUACACCCUGAUAUUAUUUGGCAAAGGGCAGCAUGUCCAAAUACAGAGAAAAAUGACAGCAACAACCUCCUUCUGGCAUGCAGGUGGAGAGAAGAAUCGUGUAUUAGCAAAGGGUUAGAGGCAAUUCAACUUAGCUUUGAAACUGAGAUUACUAAUUAAACUCUGCAGACAAAAACUUCAAAAUGGCAUGAGAUCCCUUCAAUGAAAAUCUCUUUUGCCAGUGACUAAAGAACAAAUUGGGAAAGCAGCCAAUGUCAUGUUUAUUACUCUGGCCUAUGAAUGAAGGACCUCACUGAACCAGCACUUAGCGCAGCUCCCAUGUGAACAGGAGGGUUCAUAUAACCAUUGAGGGUUUUAUGAUUCUCUUGUAUUGGUCAUUGCUCUGGACCAUCAUCAAGGCGGAGCCACUCUUAAGAUGAUAAGGGUUUUGCCCCUCUUUUUGCUCUACCUGAUGCUUUUUGAUGGAAAAGCCAGAAGACAGUGUGUGAAAACUUGACAUGCAGGCAGUGGAUUUUACUGGGGAUAGAACUCUGGACAGAGCACAAAGGAGCAGCCAGGAAGAAAUUACUCUCAGGGGCUUUAGAGGUUAAAAAUUCACCCCAAUUCUUUAUUUCCUUUUAAUAAAAUUAUAGGAGUUCUGGUUGUGGCUCAGUGGAAACAAAUCUGACUAGCAUCCACGAGGAUGCAGGUACAAUCCCUGCCCUUUGCUAAGUGGGUUAAGGAUCCAGCAUUGCCGUGAGCUGUGGUGUAGGCCGGCAGUUGCAUCUCCUAUUUGACCCCUAGCUUGAGAACCUCCACAUGCUGUGGGUGUGGCCCUAAAAAAACAAAAAAACAAACAAACAAAAAAAAAACUAAAUGAAAUAAAAUAAAAUAAUAAGUACACACCAUGGCCGUGGCCUUAGAGUGGUCUUUACUGUUGGUUCAUUGCAUCUUAUUCUAAACCAAAUUACCAUUUCUAUUCCCUGGUAUCUAGUAUAAUGAAUUAAAUUCUUGCUACUCAAAGUAGCAAGAGGUUCUUGAGCCAGUAGCAAUGGCAUUACCUGGGAGCUGAUUAAAAAUGCAGAAUCUCAGGGCGCACCUCAGAUCAGCAGAAUCUGUAACAAGAUCCCCAGGUGAUUGUUGUGUGCAGGAAAGUUUGAGCAACGUUGCUCUAAAACAUUAACCAUAUUGAUUCGUGCUUCAACCAUUGAAAAAUAAACUGUUUACGAGUAAACUAUUUUGUUUAAAUUUUUUUCCUAAUAUUUGAAAAUAUCAAAUAUCAACGAUAACGUGUGAUGAUAGCUCUUUCACAAUAUCCAAAAAACUGUUAAAUGUUAAAUACAAAGCUAGAAUUUUUCAGUAAAUAGGGAGGCAAGACACCUGAGUGAAAACAAGACAAAAAACAGUAUUUACAUAUUUCAAGAAGAGCAGGGUGAACUAUGUAAAUUGUAAUUUUUUUUUUCCUCUCCUGUAUCAAAAAUCGUUUCCACUUCCUUAGUAGAGAGCCAGGCAAGCCCCAGCUGGCUGGAUUCUCCAUUUCCAGGUAGACUGCAAGGUGUGUCAAGAGACGACAUAGAGGAGUAGCCACCAACUCCGUUCCUUAUUACCAGACACUACAGAAGCCUGGGCUUCUUGCUUUCACACAUAAAUCCAUCCCUUUCACAACCUCUCACAUUAAUCCUACCCCAGUUUCUACCUAGCUUUCCCCAAAGGAAGCUCCCAUGACCAGGUGUGACUCCACCUCUAAUUAUUCGUGACUGCAUUUGCAUGCGUUUUUCCUCAUUAUACUAUCAUUAGCAUAAGGACCAGGAUUCUGUUGCCUGGGCAACCAGAAGCAGCCCUGUGCUCUGUGCCUGGUGACGGGACCCUACUAUUAGUUUUUCUCUUAUAUUUUUGUAUAUGCUCAUUUUUAUGAUCAAAAGAAUGCAAACCUUUCUCCAGCUCUGCCUCUUUUCAUGUUUUGUAGUUGUUUCUGCAGUGUCCAGCUGAUCUGUCUAAUUUUUCUUGGAUUUAUUGCCUUAACUUCUCUGAUUUCCUCUGGCUAAUGCUGAUUCUUUCCUUUCCUUUAAUCAGACCCUCCUUUUGAAUUGCCCACUCUGAUCAGGACAGCCAGCUCAAUAUUUUAAUCUCCUAUUAGAUCUCUGUCUCCUAUUAGAUGUUAUAUUCACCAUUAAAAUGACCCCCACUUAUGAAAUUUCCUUGUCUAUUCUACUUCCUUCUUUUCUUCUCUUGCUCCAGUUAUUUGCUACUGUAAUAAUACAAGACCAAUAGAAAAAUGAUGCUAUUAUCAUAAUUCCUAAUAGUAAGCUACAUAAAACAUUGUCUGCCCAACUCCUUUUUCUAAAGUAGUGGUUCCUAACCUUGGCUGCAAGUUGGAAUCUCCUGGGUAAUUUAAAAAACCACUCGUAUCUGGGUUUUACCUCCCAGAGAUUCUGACGUCCUUGGCCUGAGAUAAAGCCUGGCAGGGAAUUUUAGAAAACUUCUUGAGUGAUUCCAAUGUAUAGCCCAAGUUGGGAAGCUGGAAGGGUAAUAGCUUUCAACCAGUCCUUCCUGGCUUUGUUAUUUUUGUUAUCGUUGGCAUUGAUGACAAACUACAAAUGUACACCUCCCUGAAGGUCUCUUGCCCGUCUUUGGUCUAUUUUCCCUGCACUCCUUUUCUCUCCUUUCCCUGUUCUAGACUGCAUAUUGGUGGGCUGAUCCUCGUAGGCUCUUUCCUGGAUUCCUGCAUCAGCUGGUUUCUAGUGAACUUCAGCCAGUGGGAAACACUUCCAGGAUCCUGGGGCAUUGUGGACUGAAUGUUUGUGUCCUCCCCAAAUUCAUAUAUUAAAACCCUAAUCCUCAAUGUGAUGGUAUUUAGAGAUGUGCCUUUGGAAGGCAAUUAGGUCGUGAGGGUGGGGCCCAAAUGAAUGGAAUUUGUGCCUUUAAAAAAAGACAGGAGACAGAUGAGCUCUCUCUGUACCACGUGAGGACAUAGCAAGAAGAAAUCUGUCUACGAACCAGGAAAUGAAAUGGGCUGACACUAUGAUUUGGGAUGUACCAACCUGAAGAACCCUAAGAAAUUUAAGCCACCUCAUCUACAGUAUUUUCAUUAUAGCAGCUUGUACUGACACAGAGGCAGGGAGGAAGUGAGCAGCCAGGGUGUUUUUCCCUCUCUCUUUUUGCCUGUGUGGUACCUCCAGCUGUGUUCCCACUGUGUUUCCAGCUCCUGCCAGACAGUGAGACAGACUCAAUGUGCUUUCAAUUUACUGGGUGUGAUCUGACCCAUGGACUUUGUGAAUGUGGCUUCUUCCCUUUGAUCAUCCAGGCAAGGGGUAUUAAUAGCUUCCUUCUCUUACUAAAUUCAGGGGUGUCUGGCCAUUCUAUUUGGUGUUUCAAUUCAUCUAUCCAGCCAGUUCUCAGUAAAAUUUCCUCUGUGUUGGAGCUCCUGCUGUGGCGCGAUGGGAUUGGCUGUUUCUCUGUAGCACCAGGACUCAGGUUCAAUCCCCAGCCCAGCACAGUGGGUUAAAGGAUUCAAUGUUGCUGUAGGUUGUAACCGUGGCUCAGAUCUGAUUCCUGGCCCAGGAUCUCCAUAGGCUGCAUGGAAGCCAAAAAAGAAAAAAAAAAUUCCUUUGUGUUAAAUACUUUGGUUUCUGUUUCCCUGGUCAGGCCCUGCUUGACACAGUUCAUGAGAUGCUGUCUAGAUAUUUGCAGAUGCAACAUCCCUGAUAUUUAUAGACCCACUCUGACCCUCAGGGGGGUAGAGGUAGGUAGGGUGCUAAGAUAUGUGGCAUAUAUACCAUCUAGGAAGGUAGGUCCCUGUUCUUUGGGAUGUAAGUACAUCACACAUUGACCCAAGAUCUGUUGUUUAGAGUUACCACUCUAACAUUGGCGAUAUGAGGGACUCCCCUUUCCAGCAAAAUACAGCUAUACACCAUUACUGUUACGAACAGAAGUAGAGUGCUUUAUGGCCCACCCAGACCUUGGAAUGAGUUCUCUAAAGCCUUGCAAUCCCAAGUGUGAUUUGUGAACUAGAAGCAUCAUAAUUACACCAAAGCUUUUAAAAAACCAGAAAUCAGGUCCUACUCCAGGCUUGUAUUGUUAUGAUUCAUAUACCAUAAAAUUCUUCAAUUUAAAAUAUAAAAGCAUUUGAUUUUUUUGUAAAUUCAAGACAUUGUGCAACUAUUAACACUAUCUAAUUCCAGAAUAGCUUCAUCACACCAAAAAGAAAUCCUAGACUCUUAGUGGUCACUUCUCACCCUCUCCUCCCCCAGGCCUUAGUUAAGCACUAAUCAACUGUUUCUAUGGAUUUGCCUGUUCCAGACAUUUCAUAUACAUGGAAUAAUGUAAUAUUUGGCUUUUGUGUCUAGUUUCUUUCAUUUAAAAUGUUUUCAAUAGAGUUCCUAUCAUGACUCAGUGGUAACCAACCCAACUAGUAUCCAUGAGGAUGAGGGUUCAAUCCCUA